CCUACGGGAGACAGCAGUGGGGGAUAUUGCUCAAUGGGGGAAACCCUGAAGCAGCGACGCCGCGUGGAGGAUGGAGGUUUUCGGCGUGUAAACUCCUUUUGUUAGGGAAGAUGAUGACGGUAUCUAACGUAUAAACACCGGCUAACUCCGUUCCAGCAGCCGCCGUUAUACGGAGGGUGCAAGCGUUACUCGGAAUCACCGGGCGGAAAGGGCGCGUAGGCGGGAUAGCAAGUCAGGUGUGAAAGCCUAGGGCUUAACCAUAGAACUGCAGUUGAAACUGUUCUUCUAGAGUAUGGGAGAGGUAGGUGGAAUUCGUGGUGUAGGGGUAAAAUCCGUAGAGAUCAAGAGGAAUACUCAUGGCGAAGGCAGCCUACUAAACUGCCACUGACGUUGAUGCUCGAAAGUGUGGGUAUCAAACAGGAUUAGAUACCCCAGUAGUC
rnacentral:rRNA from 1 species